rnacentral:rRNA from 1 species
UACGUAGGGGGCUAGCGUUGCUCGGAAUCACUGGGCGUAAAGCGCACGUAGGCGGAUUGCUAAGUCAGGGGUGAAAUCCUGGAGCUCAACUCCAGAACUGCCUUUGAUACUGGCGACCUUGAGUCCGGGAGAGGUGAGUGGAACUGCGAGUGUAGAGGUGAAAUGCGCAGAUAUCAGGAAGAACACCCGUGGCGAAGGCGGUUCUCUGGGACGGUACUGACGCUGAGACGCGAAAGCGUGGGGAGCGAACAGG